CGUACCGUCCAAACGUUAUUCGGAAUUACUGGGCUUAAAGGGUUUGUAGGCGGCGCUGUUAGUCGGGUGUGAAAUCCCAGGGCUCAACCCUGGAACUGCGCCCGAUACUGCAGUGCUUGAGGGAGACAGAGGUAAGCGGAACUGAUGGUGGAGCGGUGAAAUGCGUUGAUAUCAUCAGGAACACCGGUGGCGAAAGCGGCUUACUGGGUCUCUUCUGACGCUGAGAAACGAAAGCCAGGGGAGCGAAGGGGAUUAGAUACCCCCGUAGUCCUGGCCGUAAACGUUGAGCACUUGAUCGAGGGCCCCCCCAUAGGCUCUCGGUCGUAGCGAAAGUGUUAAGUGCUCCGCCUGGGGAGUAUGGUCGCAAGGCUG
rnacentral:rRNA from 1 species